rnacentral:rRNA from 1 species
ACCCGCUGAACUUAAGCAUAUCAAUAAGCGGAGGAAAAGAAACCAACAGGGAUUGCCCUAGUAACGGCGAGUGAAGCGGCAACAGCUCAAAUUUGAAAUCUGGCGUCUUUGGCGUCCGAGUUGUAAUUUGCAGAGGGCGCUUUGGCAUUGGCAGCGGUCCAAGUUCCUUGGAACAGGACGUCACAGAGGGUGAGAAUCCCGUACGUGGUCGCUAGCCUUUACCGUGUAAAGCCCCUUCGACGAGUCGAGUUGUUUGGGAAUGCAGCUCUAAAUGGGAGGUAAAUUUCUUCUAAAGCUAAAUACUGGCCAGAGACCGAUAGCGCACAAGUAGAGUGAUCGAAAGAUGAAAAGCACUUUGGAAAGAGAGUUAAAAAGCACGUGAAAUUGUUGAAAGGGAAGCGCUUGCAGCCAGACUUGCCUGUAGUUGCUCAUCCGGGUUUUUACCCGGUGCGCUCUUCUAUAGGCAGGCCAGCAUCAGUUUGGGCGGUUGGAUAAAGGUCUCUGUCAUGUACCUCUCUUCGGGGAGAACUUAUAGGGGAGACGACAUGCAACCAGCCCGGACUGAGGUCCGCGCAUCUGCUAGGAUGCUGGCGUAAUGGCUGU